rnacentral:rRNA from 1 species
CUGGUUGAUCCUGCCAGUAGUCAUAUGCUUGUCUCAAAGACUAAGCCAUGCAUGUCUAAGUAUAAAUGUUAUACAGUGAAACUGCGAAUGGCUCAUUAAAACAGUUAUAGUUUAUUUGAUAAUCGAAUUUACAUGGAUAACCGUGGUAAUUCUAGAGCUAAUACAUGCUGGUUAGCCUGACUUCGAGGAAGGGCUGUAUUUAUUAGAUAACAAACCAAUAUUCCUCGUGUCUAUUGUGAUGACUCAUAGUAACUGAUCGAAUCGCAUGGGCCUUGCCCGCGAUACAUCAUUCAAGUUUCUGCCCCAUCAGCUUUCGAUGGUAGUGUAUUGGACUACCAUGGCUUUAACGGGUAACGGAGGAUUAGGGUUCGAUUCCGGAGAGGGAGCCUGAGAAACGGCUACCACAUCUAAGGAAGGCAGCAGGCGCGUAAAUUACCCAAUCCUGACUCAGGGAGGUAGUGACAAGAAAUAACGGACCGAGGCUUCACGCUUCGGGAUUGCAAUGAGUAGAAUUUAAACCCCUUUACGAGGAUCAAUUGGAGGGCAAGUCUGGU